GUUAAGCUGUGAAGGGCGUAUGAUGGAUGCCUUGGCACCGGCAGGCGAUGAAGGACGCGGCAGGCUGCGAUAAGCCUCGGGGAGCCGCCUGGCAGGCUUUGAUCCGGGGAUUUCCGAAUGGGGGAACCCGUCCCGCUGUUGCGGGACACCGUGUGCUGAACACAUAGGCGCACGGGGCCAGACCCGGCGAAUUGAAACAUCUGAGUAGCCGGAGGAAAAGAAAUCAACGCGAGAUUCCGCAAGUAGUGGCGAGCGAACGCGGACCAGCCCAAAUCCCCCGCUUCUGCGGGGGUGGUUGCGGGACCCGCAGACGGGUACGUGUACGGUUAGCCGAAGCCGCUGGAAAGCGGCGCCGCAGAGGGUGACAGCCCCGUAGGCGAAAACCGCAAGCGGCCCGCGGUGUUCCCGAGUAGGACGGCGCACGAGGAACGCCGUCUGAAUCCGGGGGGCCCGCCCUCCAAGGCUGAAUACUCGCCGGUGACCGAUAGUGCACAAGUACCGUGAGGGAAAGGUGAAAAGAACCCCGUAGAGGGGAGUGAAACAGAGCCUGAAAUCAUACGCCUGCAAACUGCGGGAGUCCCGACGCCCUUCGGGGCCGGGAUGACCGUAUGCUUUUUGCAUAACGAGCCUGUGAGUUGCGGUCGGCGGCCAGGUUAACCCCGCGUGUGCGGGGGGAGCCGCAGCGAAAGCGAGUGCUAAUAGCGCGAUCAGUCGGCGGCUGCAGACCCGAAGCCGGGUGAUCUAUCCAUGGCCAGGGUGAACCUCGGGUAACACCGAGUGGAGGCCCGAACCGAUGCGUGCUGCAAAACGCUCGGAUGAGCUGUGGAUAGGGGUGAAAGGCCAAUCAAACUCGGCGAUAUCUGGUUCUCUCCGAAACAGCUUUAGGGCUGGCCUCGCGCCACUGGCGCACGGGGGUAGAGCACUGAUUGCCUGCGGGCCCUUACCGGGGCACCAAAGGCAGUCAAACUCCGAAUACCGUGCUGCUGUACCGCGGGAGUCAGACUGCGGGGGACAAGCUCCGUGGUCGAGAGGGAAACAGCCCGGACCGCCGGCUAAGGUCCCUAAUGCCGGACUGAGUGGCAAUAAGGAUGUGGGGCCGCGAAGACAGCCAGGAUGUUGGCUUAGAGGCAGCCAUCAUUUAAAGAGUGCGUAACAGCUCACUGGUCGAGUGGCCCUGCGCCGUAAAUGAUCGGGACUAAGUCCGGAACCGAAGCCGCGGACCUCCGUGUUGCACGGAGGUGGUAGGAGAGCGCUGUGCGCGGGCUGAAGCCGCUGCGUGAGCGGCGGUGGACCGCGCACAGGUGAAAAUGCAGGCAUGAGUAGCUUCAAGAGAGGUGAGAAUCCUCUCCGCCGUAAGUCCAAGGUUUCCUGGGGAAGGUUCGUCCGCCCAGGGGUAGUCGGUCCUAAGGCGAGGCCGAAAGGCGUAGUCGAUGGGCAGCAGGUUAAUAUUCCUGCACUGCGCUGCCGGAGCGAAGGAGUGACGCAGCAGGUCAGGCCGGCUGUCGGAUGGAAGCGACAGUCCAAGCGUGCAGGGCGGCCGGCAGGCAAAUCCGCCGGCCAAUGCCUCAGGCGUGACGGGACGCGCCGCCCACGGGCGGGGCGGAUCGGUCUCAGCCAGGCUGCCGGGAAAAACUUCUAAGCGAUGAAAGCAGCGCAACCGUACCGCAAACCGACACAGGUGGACAGGGUGAGCAACCCAAGGCGCGCGGGAGAAUCCACGUUAAGGAAUUCGGCAAAAUGGCCCCGUAACUUCGGGAGAAGGGGCGCCCGCUGCGGUGAGGAGACACAGCGCUCUGAGCUGCGGCGGGCCGCAGAGAAACGGCCCGGACGACUGUUUACCAAAAACACAGCACUCUGCCAACCCGCAAGGGGACGUAUAGGGUGUGACACGUGAUCAAUGCCGAAAGGUCAAGCGGAGGGGUGAUCCUGUCCUUCGGGACAGGGCAGCUCCGAAGCGAAGCCCCGGUGAAUAUCGGCCGUAACUAUAACGGUCCUAAGGUAGCGAAAUUCCUUGUCGGGUAAGUUCCGACCUGCACGAAUCGUGCCACGAUCCGGGCGCUGUCUCGACGUGGAUCCCGGUGAAAUUGUAAUUCCGGUGAAAAUGCCGGAUACCUGCGGUAGGACGGAAAGACCCCGUGAACCUUUACUGUAAUCUGAUACUGGCAUUCGGCUGUCCAUGUGCAGAAUAGGUGGGAGCCUGCGAACCCCGCCCGCCAGGGCGGGGGGAGGCGUCGGUGAAAUACCACCCUUGGUCAGUUGAAUGUCUAACCCGCUGUCCGUGAAGCCGGACCGGGAACAGUGUCAGAGGGUCAGUUUGACUGGGGCGGUUUCCUCCUAAAACGUAACGGAGGAGUUCGAAGGUCGGCUCAGCACGGUCGGCAAUCGUGCGAAGAGUGUAAGGGCAUAAGCCGGCCUUACUGCGAGACUGACGGGUCGAGCAGUCGCGAAAGCGGGACCUAGUGAUCCAGCGGUAGGACGCGGAACCGCCGUUGCUCAUCGGACAAAAGGUACUCCGGGGAUAACAGGCUUAUCGCGCCCAAGCGUCCACAGCGACGGCGCGGUUUGGCACCUCGAUGUCGGCUCAUCACAUCCUGGGGCUGAAGGCGGUCCCAAGGGUUGGGCUGUUCGCCCAUUAAAGUGGUACGCGAGCUGGGUUCAGAACGUCGUGAGACAGUUCGGUCCUUAUCCUCCGCAGGCGCAGGAGACUUGACAGGAGCAUUCCUCAGUACGAGAGGACCGGGAAUGAGCGGCCUCUGGUGUUCCGGCUGUCCCGCCGAGGGGCACCGCCGGGUAGCUAUGCCGCGACGGGAUAAGCGCUGAAAGCAUCUAAGCGCCAAGCCCUCCUGAAGAUAAGGUCUCCCCUCCCCUGCUUCGGCAGGGGACUGAAGGCCCCCGGAAGACUACCGGGUUGAUAGGCCGGAGGUGUAAGACGGGUAACCGUUUGAGCUGACCGGUACUAAUCGGCCGUGCGGCUUAAC
rnacentral:rRNA from 1 species